UCGCCUAAAAACUUAAUGAGCAAAUCCGCGGGAUUCUCUGAAGUGCCAAUCUUCUCAUCUCCAACUACGCCUUUUGCAACCUCUGUUGCAUCAGAACGACAACUUGUCGUAGAGCGAAACUGCUGGAGCGAUCAAACUUCUCGAUCUCAAAUUCGUCGACGUCUUAAACACCCAAACAAACACUCAGGCUCUAACACCAGUUUGUUAGGACAAAACUGAAAAGAUCUAGUUCGUCGGGUGCGAAAAUACCAAAAGAGAUCUGAGAAAAAGAGAAUAAAAAUAAAGCACACGAUAUUUACGUGCAUGGUUUGGCCGCCGACCUACGUCCAGGGGGGAAGACGGAGCGGAGAUCUUCAUUAUAAUCAAAGUGGUGUACAAAAUAUGCCUCUCUCACAAAACCCUAAUCCCAAAAAAUUCACCCAUAUUCCCUCUCUCAUCUUCCGCACUAAAUCAAUAGCAGAAAUAGUAUAUUUAUAAUAGUGGCUAAAUCUUAAUACGAUUAGGAAUACAAACCCACUAAGAUUAGGAAUAUCUCGAUAAAUUAGGCAUAAUCUAAACUUAACUUAAUGGGAUAAUUAAAACAGAAUAGGGUUAGAAGACAUUGCGGUACUAGAAUUCGAGACAUAUUUAACAAUCUCCACCUUGACUUGAAUUCUAUGUCUUCUCCAUCAAAAUCCCAAGAGCUCCUGAAGUGCUACUGCACAUGCGAACAAGUUUACGGAAUACUUGACCUUGAUCGCCUAAAAACUUAAUGAGCAAAUCCGCGGGAUUCUCUAAAGUGCCAAUCUUCUCAUCUCCAACUACGCCUUUUGCAACCUCUGUUGCAUCAGAACGACAACUUGUCGUAGAGCGAAACUGCUGGAGCGAUCAAACUUCUCGAUCUCAAAUUCGUCGACGUCUUAAACACCCAAACGAACACUCCGGCUCUGAUACCAGUUUGUUAGAACUAAAACCGAGAAGAUCUAGUUCGUCGGAUGCGAAAAUACCAAAAGAGAUCCGAGAAAGAGAGAAGAAAAAUAAAGCACACAAUAUUUACGUGGUUCGGCCAACGGCCUACGUCCACGGGCGAAGACGGAGCGGAGAUCUUCAUUAUAAUCAAAGUGGUGUACAAAAUAUGCCUCUCUCACAAAACCCUAAUCCCAAAAAAUACACCCAUAUUCCCUCUCUCAUCUUCCGCACUAAAUCAAUAGCAGAAAUGGUAUAUUUAUAAUAGUGGCUAAAUCUUAAUACGAUUAGGAAUACAAACCCACUAAGAUUAGGAAUAUCUCGAUAAAUUAGGCAUAAUCUAAACUUAACUUAAUGGGAUAAUUAAAACAGAAUAGGGUUAGAAGACCUUGCGGUACUAGAAUUCGAGACAUAUUUAACAAUCUCCACCUUGACUUGAAUUCUAUGUCUUCUCCAUCAAAAUCCCAAGAGCUCCUGAAGUGCUACUGCACAUGCGAACAAGUUUACGGAAUACUUGACCUUGAUCGCCUAAAAACUUAAUGAGCAAAUCCGCGGGAUUCUCUGAAGUGCCAAUCUUCUCAUCUCCAACUACGCCUUUUGCAACCUCUGUUGCAUCAGAACGACAACUUGUCGUAGAGCGAAACUGCUGGAGCGAUCAAACUUCUCGAUCUCAAAUUCGUCGACGUCUUAAACACCCAAACGAACAUUCCAGCACUGAUACCAUUUUGUUAGAACUAAAACCGAGAAGAUUUAAUUUGUCGGAUGCGAAAAUACCAAAAGAAAUCCGAAAAAGAGAGAAGAAAAAUAAAGCACACAAUAUUUACGUGGUUCGGCCAACGGCCUACGUCCACGGGCGAAGACGGAGCGGAAAUCUUGAUUAGAAUCAAAGUGGUGUACAAAAUAUGCCUCUCUCACAAAACCCUAAUCCCAAAAAAUACACACAUAUUUCCUCUCUCAUCUUCCGCACUAAAUCAAUAGCAGAAAUGGUAUAUUUAUAAUAGUGGCUAAAUCUUAAUACGAUUAGGAAUACAAACCCACUAAGAUUAGGAAUAUCUCGAUAAAUUAGGCAUAAUUUAAACUUAACUUAAUGGGAUAAUUGAAACAGAAUAGGGUUAGAAGAUCUUGCUGUACUAGAAUUCGAGACAUAUUUAACAUGAUGCAACUAUAAAUAAUUUGUUUGAUUGCAUAUAAUUGAAAAGUACAUUCACACAUUUUAUUACUAUAUACAUAUUUUAUAUUAUAAAAUAUGAUUAAGGAGAUAAAAGCUUAUCUUUAAUUUAUAAUAACUACUUUCUCCAACUGCUGCAACUGUUACAACAAUUAUAUUUAAAACAUCAAGUCAAUCGCUAAAUUUAAAUCUGUAUGCAAUUACAAAUACAAUAUAGUUGCAGCUACAAGCUAUCUA
rnacentral:lncRNA from 1 species